CCUACGGGUGGCUGCAGUGGGGAAUAUUGGGCAAUGGAGGCAACUCUGACCCAGCAACGCCGCGUGAAUGAUGAAGGUCUUCGGAUUGUAAAGUUCUUUUCUAAGGGAAGAAGAAAGUGACGGUACCUUAGGAAUAAGCAUCGGCUAACUCCGUGCCAGCAGCCGCGGUAAUACGGAGGAUGCGAGCGUUAUCCGGAUUUAUUGGGUUUAAAGGGUGCGUAGGCGGACUUUUCAGUCAGCGGUAAAAGCCCGGGGCUCAACCCCGGCGAGCCGUUGAAACUGGCUGUCUUGAGAUGUCGAGAGGUAUGCGGAAUGCGCAGUGUAGCGGUGAAAUGCUUAGAGAUUGCGCAGAACUCCGAGUGCGAAGGCAGCAUACCGGCGGCGAUCGGACGCUGAGGCACGAAAGCGUGGGUAUCGAACAGGAUUAGAUACCCCGGUAGUC
rnacentral:rRNA from 1 species